rnacentral:lncRNA from 1 species
CAUGGUGGGAGACCUACUUCACUCUCCCACGCUAGACUGAGCCUUGUUAGCUGCCAUGUCACUUGUCGUGCCCAUGAUAGCUCUUUCGAGGCACGUCUUCAGUACCUAUGCUGUACAUUUUGUCUAACCUUUGACUACCCUUGUGUACCUUACAGUAUAGAAGCACUAAAACUUAAAAUUCUGAAGCUCAUUCCGCUUCCAGUGCCUUCGAGUAAUAAUGUAUGUAGCUGAUUAGUUUUGUGUGGGUCGAAAGCUAUUUUUUAAUUCUUACUGUAAGUUGACACGUAUUUUUUAAUUCUUUUUCAGUAUGUCUAGUUAGUUAUUCAUUCAAUAUUUGACAAAUGGGAAUAAUUUUUUGUAGGUAAUGGGAAGACAGAAUUGAAAGUGUAUGGGGUGCUUCAUAUGAUGGUUUUGAAUAUGAUACUAGUAAGUUUGGCGCCCUUAACUUUUAGUACAUUACAUUAAACUUUUUUUUGUGCAAUGUUUUUGUCGUGUUGUAGCUUAUAUUACUGCGUUUGAUUUUAUUUCAGGUGUUGGACAUGUUUUCAUGCAAUUUAUUUGCCUCAAUCUGACUUAGUUAAUGUGUUGUAAAAUUUACGUUGUUGACUUUGGUUUCAUUUUGUGUUACUUCAUGAUCGUUAGUGAACUAAAGUAUUAAUGGUUAUCUAUGUUGUGUAAGGUACUAUGUUUUGUAACAAACCUCGUUAGUGAACUAAAGUAUUAAUGGUUAUCUAUGUUGUGUAAGGUACUAUGUUUUGUAACAAACCAAGCUUGUUGUUUGUGGUUAUUUGGUGAAUUUAUUUAUCUAUUUUGAAACUGUGAUUAGCCUAUUGAUUGUUGUUAUUCACUGAGGUUGUAUUUAUUUAUAUAAAUGAUUAAGUUAAUGGAAUGACUUACAGCAUUAUGAUAAA